AUGCAGUUCUGGUCGCUCGAGGGCGCGGAGGAGGCGUUCGUCGACUUCGGCCGCAUCGACCGCCUCGACAGCAGAACCCUGGAGCGGGGCCACACGAAAACCUUUGUGUGCUGGCUCUGGACCUGGGAUAUCGCGCACAUCCCGACAAAGCGAGCUCUCUGGGUGCUAAAGAGGGGAGCUGGCCGCGUUGACGAGAUCCUCGGCUACUCCCCGCCGGACCGCCGCGUCCCCCCUCCGCCGGGCGUGCGCCGCUAUGAUCUGCUGAUACACGUAGACCGAGUUGAAGACUGGACCCCGCUCUCGCCUCGCUCUUCGCACUCGGGCCAGAGCGGGAUCCCCUCCUCCGAUGACGAUGACAACCGUGUUGGAAAUAUGCCCUAG
rnacentral:rRNA from 1 species